UUUCAGUGAAGCCCUCUCACAUGCUGGUGCUUACGGAAAUAAAACAUGUUUUUCAGGGCUAUGCUGCAGGAGGAGAGCCGGCCUCCGUGGCGGGGCUGGAGCUCAGCAGACUGCAUCCUGUGAAGCUGUGAGGGCACCCCAGUCUGUCCUUAGCCAAGAAAUUAUUAUUGCUGUAGUUGUCAGUAUUGUGUUGCUAUUAACCUGUCAGCAUUAUAUGAAAGAAAGACGAGGCUGCAGCUACUUUUUCUGAGGAGACCAGUGUGAGCAAUGAGAAUGUAUACUGGAUCAGACACAAGUGAUGACUGCAUGAAUCCUGAUGGACCCCGGUGUGAGAAAAUCUGCAGAAACAAAUGUGAAAAGCCCAUAGAGACACUGAAAUCCUGUCCCUGUUAAGGUCUUUUCCUUCAUCUGAUUUUUUUUUUAAAUUUUUGUGAUGUAUCGGAUACUUGUAAGGCAUGGCAGAUUUGCACUUUUGGAAGUUAAGAUCGUGCCCUCAGAAACAGGAUCAGCCCCCAAAGCAGCAGUGAGCAUCUCUCUGUGUGUCUGUCACCAUCUCCUUGGCAAGAGCACCAAAAUGAGCAGCACCAAGAAUUAGGGGCUAGUUCAGCCACAGGUAGUGCUGGUGACAUUUUGUGUGGUAUUCACUUGUCUGUUGGGAAAUGGGCUGUGACUGUUCUAUGUUGGCUGCAGAGUUUGCCUAUACAUGCUGUAGCCAGCUAGAGCAGGCCAG